rnacentral:tRNA from 1 species
GGGGUAUAGCUCAGCUGGGAGAGCGCUUGCAUGGCAUGCAAGAGGUCAGCGGUUCGAUCCCGCUGUUGACACG